rnacentral:rRNA from 1 species
AGUGAACGCUGGCGGUAGGCCUAACACAUGCAAGUCGAACGGCAGCACAGUGAGAGCUUGCUCUUACGGGUGGCGAGUGGCGGACGGGUGAGGAAUACAUCGGAAUCUACUUUUUCGUGGGGGAUAACGUAGGGAAACUUACGCUAAUACCGCAUACGACCUACGGGUGAAAGCAGGGGAUCUUCGGACCUUGCGCGAUUGAAUGAGCCGAUGUCGGAUUAGCUAGUUGGCGGGGUAAAGGCCCACCAAGGCGACGAUCCGUAGCUGGUCUGAGAGGAUGAUCAGCCACACUGGAACUGAGACACGGUCCAGACUCCUACGGGAGGCAGCAGUGGGGAAUAUUGGACAAUGGGCGCAAGCCUGAUCCAGCCAUACCGCGUGGGUGAAGAAGGCCUUCGGGUUGUAAAGCCCUUUUGUUGGGAAAGAAAAGCAGCAGGUUAAUACCCCGCUGUUCCGACGGUACCCAAAGAAUAAGCACCGGCUAACUUCGUG